rnacentral:rRNA from 1 species
AAGGAAUAUUGCUCAAUGGGAGAAAUCCUGAAGCAGCAACGCCGCGUGGAGGAUGAAGGGUCUAUGACUUGUAAACUCCUGUAAAGAAGGAAAAAAUUCCCAUUAGAUGGGAGAUGAUGGUACUUCUGGAGUAAGCCCCGGCUAACUACGUGCCAGCAGCCGCGGUAAUACGCAGGGGGCAAGCGUUGUCCGGAUUUACUGGGGGUAAAGGGUGCUCAGGCGGAUUUGUAAGUCAGCGGUGAAAUCUUACAGCUUAACUGUGAAACUGCCUUUGAUACUGCAAGCCUAGAGUAUGGAAGAGAGUGAUGGAAUAUCUGGUGUAGCAGUGAAAUGCGUAGAUAUCAGAUAGAACACCAAUGGCGAAGGCAGUCACUUGGUCCAUUACUGACGCUAAAGCACGAAAGCGUGGGUAGCAAACA